UCCAGACUCCUACGGGAGGCAGCAGUGGGGGAUAUUGCACAAUGGGGGGAACCCUGAUGCAGCGACGCCGCGUGGGUGAAGGAGCGUUUCGGCGCGUAAAGCCCUCUCGGCAGGGAAGAAGGAGGACGGUACCUGACUAAGAAGCCCCGGCUAACUACGUGCCAGCAGCCGCGGUAAUACGUAGGGGGCAAGCGUUAUCCGGAUUUACUGGGUGUAAAGGGGGCGCAGACGGCAGCGCAAGCCAGGAGUGAAAGCCCGGGGCCCAACCCCGGGACUGCUCUUGGAACUGCGCGGCUGGAGUGCAGGAGGGGCAGGCGGAAUUCCUGGUGUAGCGGUGAAAUGCGUAGAUAUCAGGAGGAACACCGGUGGCGAAGGCGGCCUGCUGGACUGUAACUGACGUUGAGGCUCGAAAGCGUGGGGAGCAAACAGGAUUAGAUACCCUAGUA
rnacentral:rRNA from 1 species